CUUGCUAGCUCUCCUGCCUAUCAAAGUGCUUCUCGGUAGAAGUCAGGAGUGGAGGGUGCUUUCAGGAAAAACACUGGACACCAUGUUUGGGGAAGAUCUUCUAGAAAGAGGAGCAAGGGAUUUCUUAUUACAACCAACAACAUUUUGUGGACUCUCUGUGGAUUGUCUUACCCUUUCAACCUUUUUGUUCAUAUUUGCUUGAAAUGAUAAAAUAUGUGUGCAGUGAUUUCUGCCUAGAACGGAUCACCGAGAAGCUGAUUAGAACCAGAACAGAAUCUAGGGUGAACUGUCUCCUCCAUACCUGUUCUGGUAUCUCCAGCCCAUGCCUUCCAUGUCGCCUAGGACACCAGGUCUGGUGGCUGUGCUGUAGAACGAACCAAGUAGCAUGUGGGCGAGGAUUUUAUGAAAAGUGAGAGGCAACUGGAGGGAACUCAGAAGAAUAACGGCCCCAGAAUCAGAGGGAAGUUUAACCUCCAUCAUAGUUGUGUUCUGCCCUAGAGCAUGGGGCGUCACAUCACAGCACCUUCCUUAAGACUCCAAAUCUCCUGAAAAUGUGUCAUCUGUACUAGCCCUUUAAAUGUGAACAAUGAAGUGCUCUUUAAGAAGACAAAGGAGGAGGCAGCAGAUCCAAAAUGGCUGAAUAGCGGUACCCCUUGCAUGACUCUGCCACCGAGUAACAAAGGAAAAACUGUUUCAAAGAAAGGGAUCCAGGGAGAAUUCUGGAAAUCAGUAACACCCGAAUUCACAAAUGCUUCUGUUUGUGAACAAUUCAGCUCGUGUACAGAAGCUUCGGCAAAAUUUUGGUCCUGAUUACGAACUCUGAAUCAUGAUGAACAUGAGUGUUGCCAUAUUCUCUGUAAUAUUCUGAAGUAGAGAGAAAAAGGCCCAGCCAUCCAGGGACUCAAUUCAGGACAUUCCAGCUCCCAAACAAUGCAGAGAAUCCGCUAAAGCCUCAAUUGUCAAUCAGCUUUUC
rnacentral:lncRNA from 1 species